AGAAGACCUUGAAGAUGCCUGCUGCUUGGUGACAGAAAGGAGUGUUUGAAUGGCAGCCAUGAGACAGUCCAGCAUCUUUGGAGCCUUCAGCCCUGUGCUCCCUUUGGAUCCUUGCCACUGCGGUGUGUGGUGUGGAACCUCACAAAGGCCCCUUAGAGAUUGGAAAACUGCUCCGCUUCAGUCUCUUGUAUGUGGAGCACAACCUUCAAUCCUGAAGGGAAGGUUUGCUAAGCAGGAGAGCUCCGGGGAGCUCUGUCUCCUGAGGACUAGGAUUGAAGCCAGGUCCACACGUGAGUGCUCUACCACUGAUCUACACUGGCAGCCCCCCUUUUUAUUUAUUUUGAGACAAGAUCUCACUGAGUUGCCCAUACUGGCUUCAAACUUGGAACCCUCAAACCUUAGACUCUUGAGUAAUGGGUAUUAUAGGCAUGAACCAC